CACGAAGGAACGCAGACUAAGAUCUCGCCACGUCCUGUGGCAACGUCUGCAUGACCCGCAUCCUCCCAAAAGCUGC
rnacentral:sRNA from 1 species